rnacentral:tRNA from 1 species
GCCCCGGUAGCUCAGAUGGAUAGAGCACAAGUUUCCUAAACUUGGUGUCGCCGGUUCGACUCCGGCCCGGGGUA